rnacentral:rRNA from 1 species
GGAUUGCCCUAGUAACGGCGAGUGAAGCGCAACAGCUCAAAUUUGAAAUCUGGCCCUCUUCGGGGGUCCGAGUUGUAAUUUGUAGAGGGUGCUUUGGCAUGGGCGGCGGUCUAAGUUCCUUGGAACAGGACAUCGCAGAGGGUGAGAAUCCCGUAUGUGGGCGCCUGCUUUGCCGUGUAAAGCCCCUUCGACGAGUCGAGUUGUUUGGGAAUGCAGCUCUAAAUGGGAGGUAAAUUUCUUCUAAAGCUAAAUACCGGCCAGAGACCGAUAGCGCACAAGUAGAGUGAUCGAAAGAUGAAAAGUACUUUGGAAAGAGAGUCAAAUAGCACGUGAAAUUGUUGAAAGGGAAGCGCUUGCAGCCAGACGUGCCCGCAGUUGCUCACCCCGGCUCUCGCGGCGCACUCUUCUGCGGGCAGGCCAGCAUCAGUUUGGGCGGUCGGAUAAAGGCCUCUGUCA